CCUACGGGAGGCAGCAGUGAGGAAUAUUGGUCAAUGGACGCAAGGCUGAACCAGCCAUGCCGCGUGCAGGAAGACGGCUCUAUGAGUUGUAAACUGCUUUUGUACGAGGGUAAACGCAGAUACGUGUAUCUGUCUGAAAGUAUCGUACGAAUAAGGAUCGGCUAACUCCGUGCCAGCAGCCGCGGUAAUACGGAGGAUUCAAGCGUUAUCCGGAUUUAUUGGGUUUAAAGGGUGUGUAGGCGGUCGGAUAAGUUAGAGGUGAAAUCCCGAGGCUCAACUUCGGAAUUGCCUCUGAUACUGUUCGGCUAGAGAGUAGUUGCGGUAGGCGGAAUGUAUGGUGUAGCGGUGAAAUGCUUAGAGAUCAUACAGAACACCGAUUGCGAAGGCAGCUUACCAAGCUACUUCUGACGUUGAGGCACGAAAGCGUGGGGAGCAAACAGGAUUAGAUACCCUGGUAGUC
rnacentral:rRNA from 1 species